rnacentral:rRNA from 1 species
AGAGUUUGAUCCUGGCUCAGGACGAACGCUGGCGGCGGGCUUAACACAUGCAAGUCGAAGGAGAAGGCGAGUGCUUGCACUUGCCGGAGACUGGCGCACGGGUGAGUAACGCGUAGACAACCUGCCUAUAACUGGGGGAUAACAUACCGAAAGGUGUGCUAAUACCGCAUAUUGCCAACGCCUCGCAUGAGGGGUUGGUGAAAGACUUCGGUUGGUUAUAGAUGGGUCUGCGUGCCAUUAGUUAGUUGGUGGGGUAAAAGCCUACCAAGGCGAUGAUGGCUAGGGGGUCUGAGAGGAUGAUCCCCCACACUGGGACUGAGACACGGCCCAGACUCCUACGGGAGGCAGCAGUGAGGAAUCUUGCGCAAUGGGGGUAACCCUGACGCAGCCACGCCGCGUGCCGGAAGACGGCCCUAUGGGUUGUAAACGGCUUUUACAUGGGAAGAAAGUGCAGGUUUCGACCAGCAUUGACGGUACCAUUUGAAUAAGCACCGGCUAACUCCGUGCCAGCAGCCGCGGUAAUACGGAGGGUGCAAGCGUUGUCCGGAAUCAUUGGGUGUAAAGGGUGCGUAGGCUGGCGCCUAAGUCUGAGGUGAAAUCUUGCCGCUUAACGGUAAAAUUGCCUUGGAUACUGGGUGUCUUGAAUCUGACAGAGGUCGGUGGAAUUCGUGGUGUAGCGGUGAAAUGCAUAGAUAUCACGAAGAACAUCAGUGGCGAAGGCGGCCGGCUGGGUCAGUAUUGACGCUGAGGCACGAGAGCGUGGGGAGCGAACAGGAUUAGAUACCCUGGUAGUCCACGCUGUAAACGAUGUAUGCUAGUUGUGGGCCUUUCGGGGUCCGUGACGCAGUUAACGCAGUAAGCAUACCACCUGGGGAGUACGUUCGCAAGAAUGAAACUCAAAGGAAUUGACGGGGGCCCGCACAAGCGGUGGAGCAUGUGGCUUAAUUCGAUGCAACGCGAAGAACCUUACCCGGGCUAAAUCUCCGGCGACCGGUCCCGAAACGGACCUUCCCUUCGGGGCGCCGGCGAAGGUGCUGCAUGGCUGUCGUCAGCUCGUGCCGUGAGGUGUUGCCUUAAGUGGCGCAACGAGCGCAACCCCUGUGGUUAGUUACCAGCACGUAAUGGUGGGGACUCUAGCCAGACUGCCUACGCAAGUAGUGAGGAAGGUGGGGACGACGUCAAGUCAUCAUGGCCCUUAUGUCCGGGGCUGCACACGUGCUACAAUGGAUGGUACAGAGGGAAGCCACCCCGCGAGGGGGUGCAGAUCUCGAAAGCCAUUCCCAGUUCGGAUUGGAGUCUGCAACUCGACUCCAUGAAGGUGGAAUCGCUAGUAAUCGCGUAUCAGCAAUGACGCGGUGAAUACGUUCCCGGGCCUUGUACACACCGCCCGUCAAGCGAUGGAAGUCA